rnacentral:rRNA from 1 species
AUUGAACGCUGGCGGCAGGCCUAACACAUGCAAGUCGAACGGUAACAGGAAACAGCUUGCUGUUUCGCUGACGAGUGGCGGACGGGUGAGUAAUGUCUGGGAAACUGCCUGAUGGAGGGGGAUAACUACUGGAAACGGUAGCUAAUACCGCAUAACGUCGCAAGACCAAAGAGGGGGACCUUCGGGCCUCUUGCCAUCGGGUGUGCCCAGAUGGGAUUAGCUAGUAGGUGGGGUAACGGCUCACCUAGGCGACGAUCCCUAGCUGGUCUGAGAGGAUGACCAGCCACACUGGAACUGAGACACGGUCCAGACUCCUACGGGAGGCAGCAGUGGGGAAUAUUGCACAAUGGGCGCAAGCCUGAUGCAGCCAUGCCGCGUGUAAGAAGAAGGCCUUCGGGUUGUAAAGUACUUUCAGCGGGGAGGAAGGGAGUAAAGUUAAUACCUUUGCUCAUUGACGUUACCCGCAGAAGAAGCACCGGCUAACUCCGUGCCAGCAGCCGCCGUAA